rnacentral:rRNA from 1 species
UACGUAGGGGGCAAGCGUUGUCCGGAUUCAUUGGGCGUAAAGAGCGUGUAGGCGGCCAGGUAGGUCGGUUGUGAAAACUGGAGGCUCAACCUUCAGAGGUCGACCGAAACCAUCUGGCUAGAGUCCGGGAGAGGAGAGUGGAAUUCCUGGUGUAGCGGUGGAAUGCGCAGAUAUCAGGAGGAACACCAAUAGCGAAGGCAGCUCGCUGGGACGGUACUGACGCUAAGGCGCGAAAGCGUGGGGAGCGAACAGG